rnacentral:lncRNA from 1 species
CAUGCCUGGCGUUCGAUUUUAUCGGGCAACUCGGAAAAUUUUUCCUUCAACUGGUAUCAGAGCCAGGUUGGCCGAUGGAAUUGGCCUAUAACAUCUAGAAUUAUGCAUGAUUUAAUUUUCAAAUUUAGAUUAGAUCUAGAUUUAUUGAUAAAAUAUCAAUCUUGUGCUGAAUUAUAAGGUUGUCCUGCUAUAAGGUUAAUCCCUUAUAGCGAAAAGGUUGUCCUAGCACAAAAUUGAGAUUAAUUUGUAUCAUAAAAUAAAUAGUUUAUUUUUGUGAAAUUAUGCAUAAUUGAUGUUUAUGAAAUUUUAGUUUUAAAUUUAUUAUGACCACAAAGUUUAAAUAUAAAUUGUUUAUAUUUGGAAUAAAUUGACACCUUGAAUCCAUGAUCAUAAUGCAUUUAAUAAAGAAUUAAAUGUUGAAUUU